rfam:Peptostreptococcus anaerobius CAG:621 genomic scaffold, scf143
UAUAUAUCUAUAGGGAGCUGAUAAAUCGGCUGAGAUAAGGAUAUUGAGCCUUGACCUUUGACCUGAUCUGGAUAAUGCCAGCGUAGGAAUUUGUAGAACUUUCCAA